GGACCUCGCGCUAUUGGAGGAGCCUGCGUCGGAUUAGCUAGUUGGUGGGGUAAAGGCCUACCAAGGCGACGAUCCGUAGCUGGUCUGAGAGGACGAUCAGCCACACUGGAACUGAGACACGGUCCAGACUCCUACGGGAGGCAGCAGUUAGGAAUCUUGGGCAAUGGGCGCAAGCCUGACCCAGCCAUGCCGCGUGUGUGAAGAAGGCCUUCGGGUUGUAAAGCACUUUCAGCGGUGAAGAAAAGCUCGGGGCCAAUACCCCAUGAGUCUUGACGUUAACCGCAGAAGAAGCACCGGGUAACUCCGUGCCAGCAGCCGCGGUAAUACGGAGGGUGCGAACGUUAAUCGGAAUCACUGGGCGUAAAGCGCGCGUAGGCGGUUUGUUAAGUGGGAUGUGAAAUCCCCGGGCUUAACCUGGGAAUUGCAUUUCAGACUGGUCGACUAGAGUACGAUAGAGGGAGGUAGAAUUUCCUGUGUAGCGGUGAAAUGCGUAGAUAUAGGAAGGAAUACCAGUGGCGAAGGCGGCCUCCUGGAUCGAUACUGACGCUGAGGCGCGAAAGCGUGGGUAGCAAACAGGAUUAGAUACCCUGGUAGUCCACGCCGUAAACGAUGUCGACUAGCCGUUGGUCCUAUUUACAGGAUUAGUGGCGCAGCUAACGCAUUAAGUCGACCGCCUGGGGAGUACGGCCGCAAGGUUAAAACUCAAAGGAAUUGACGG
rnacentral:rRNA from 1 species